ACCAGGUAGCGUCGCCGUGAGCUCCGGGAAACUUGAGCCGAGUCUUCACGACUUAAACCUGUUGAGUUGAUUUUUGGGGUUCUUCGCCUCCUCGUUGGGUGUCUAGUCAAGCUGAGCUAAUUCGCAUCUUUUUCCAAGCAAACAUCAAAGAGGUCUCUCUGUGAGAGGAGGGAAGAGGAAGACAUAUCUAUGAGGCAGCAGCCACAGCCAGGCAACAUGAUGCCUCUUUCUGGCUCACUUGACCACACCUGGGAAGGAGAGGGCCUGCAGCUCUGGUGUAUAAUGCUGAUGAUUAACUAAAUAGAGGCUGCAGCAGUCUGUGAGAGCAGGGCGGCUUAGCUUUCUCAUUUCAUGGGCCCUGACUGACUGACCGGGAAGAAGCUGAAGUGUUCACAGGCUCUGGCUGCUAAAAAUUCAAGAUCUUUUCCUUUUUACCCCCCACCCCCCUUUACUCACUUUGUUUUGUUGCAUUCUUUCCUUUUGGGUUCCUUUUCACAACGGUAAGGUUACAGGUACAUUCUCCACCUCUCUUCUCUGCCUGUUCUAUUCCCUCCCUUAUGCUCUCUCUCUUUCUACCUUUCUCAUUCACUCACACUCUUCCAUUUAGCUCAUUUGCAGGAUGACGGGAAACCUAUUCUUUCCCUCUGAACACAGGGUUGUCUUGAUUCUAGUUUUGUUUCAGGUUUAGAGAAAAAAAUAGCAAAAAAAUAGUUAACAUUAAUAGAUAUCAAUAUUAGUGUAACUAUUGCUGACUUACUGUACCAGGUCUCAAUAAAAUUAGAACGAGUUAUAGCAGUUAUUUGACAAUGCACGAUGCAAAUAGUUUGUUGCCACUGUGAUUGUUGAGUUAUUGUACAUAUUUGAGUGGUUGAUCAGUCAUGUGUCACUAUUUUAAGUGGCAAUGUAAAUAGAAUGACUAACUAAGGAAUACUGGUAUAUAUUAUAUAUGAGUCUUUAUCUUACAUAAAUAUAAAUAAUUAGCAUGCAGCAUUGUGCCACUUCUAAUGAGUGUGUUGCUUUCACACUGUGUACCUGUGAAUAGCCCACGUUUUUCAGUAAACAAAAGCUGUCUCAAUGACCUUCUGCACACACUGCAUAGGCACAGGCUAGGUCAGUCCAGCAUUCCUCCAGGCUUUCAACACACUACAAACACAAAGAAAGGAGGUACAGGUAAAGGGAAGGCAUUCAUUUCCCCUUCGUUUUCAACAUUUCAUCAAAUGACUGUUGAAAUGAAUAUGACAUGACAUACAUUGUGCUACCUGUGCUAACAUCUUCAGGGACAUGACAUGUGAAUACGGAACAACAACCCCAAGGCCUUGUUGCUGUAGUUUUGAGUAUGAAAAAUGCAGUGAGUUUUGUCGAGAAUGGAUGUUAAUAAUGGUCCAAAAAAUACCCAAUUGUCAUACAUGAGUAAAAGUAAAGAUACAUCAAUAGAAAAUGACUGAAGUGAAAGUCACCCAGCAAAAUACUACUUGAGUAAAAGUCUAAAAGUAUUUGGUUUGAAAUAUACUGAAGUAUAUGUAUUUAAGGAUUGCCAGGGGCACAAUCCAACACUCAGACACUCCAACACUCAGACAUUAUUUACAAACAAAGCAUUUGUGUUGAGUGAGUCCGCCAGAUCAGAGGCAGUAGGGAUGACCAGGGAUAAUAUAUAUAUAUAUAUAUAUGACAACGAUGUCUGAGUGUAUAUAUAUCAUUUUCAGAAUGAGGGGAAAAAGCAGCCUUACCGUUUUGUAGAACCAGACCAGUCAGAACAGGUUUGGCCAAUCAUUAACAUCCACUGUGGCCCACUCUCCUGAGGCAGAACCUAACCUACAGUCCCUACUAGAACAAAGUCUAGUUUCGAGGCGAGUUUCAAAUACGUUUUUUCCCCCCACUUCAUCUCUUGUUUAAGACCUGGGGGUUAGGUGAUAAAUUGAACUUGCUAUUGUUAGUUUGAGUUUGAGAUAGUAGAGUCCACCCAUAGUAGAGUCCACCCAAGGCCACAAUUUGUUGAGUUAACUGUAGUGGAGUUCUAAUGGAUAUUUAUGAUGAGUUGCAUGUGUGCCUGGGGAGGGGGUAUACUUGAUUUUAUAUUAUUAUAGUUUAUGUGGUAAAUACAGAUGUAGCUUCAGAGAUGUGAAAGACAGGCCUUCUAAUGAUAAUUUGCAUUACCAGUCAGGGUCGCCUACUGUUUAGUACACCUCUUUCUUUUCAUAGUGGAAUGUUCCUGAAGUCUCAGUUAUGCACAUAGGUGGGGCUUAUCCCCACACAAACCUACCCAAAGCAAGCUUAGCCUUUUAUCAAGUUUUUGUCAGUGAAAACCAGGAGAUAACACAACACAUUAAACAAAAUGAACCUGUAUUGUAAAAUGCUUAGACGAAAAUAUUGUUACUUCGAUCCGUACACAUAUUGUGAUCUGUAAAAUAAUCACUUUUAUGACCCAUUGUUUGUCUCCUAUGCAUGUAUUGGAUGGUCAUCCCCAUCUUACAAGGCAGCAUUGGAUAUCAUCAAUCUCUCUAAUACUGCCUGGUAAUGAUGAUGCUAGCCAUCCGCUAACUACAGUGAUAUACCACACAACUUACAACGUUAGCUAGCUACCAUAGCUUGGCGGCCAUUUUUCUCUCUCAAUGAAAUGCUCUGGUUUACGCUGAAAUGGCUUUCAGGAUCCAUCUUACCUGACAGUGCUGGAUUGUACAAAAAAGUUCUAACACUGUCUGGUAACGAUGUUUCCUGGGUGACCCACCUACCUCCAGAGAUACACCUCAGCUAAGGAUGUGCUUAAAGGGUCAGGUGUGACCACUUGAUGAAAGCACACCAUAGACAAUACCUGAUCAGAUUAUCUGUAGUGUUAGAACUUGACUCCAGUUUGAACUCUGUAUCUUUCUUCAAGGAUUUGAUGUCUGAUAUCAUCACUGAUAAGAAGACUUGGUUUAGGGUUGCAUCUAUCUGUAAGAGAUUGUCUUAAAUCUUCUUCUAUUGACACGCCUUUAUUCCAAUAGCUAAAACUAUACAUCUGAAAGAAGCUCCAUUUUACCUCGUCAUUUAUUUGUAGAAAAGAUAGGCCAAGUAGAGGAGACCCAGCAUUUGUAAUUCCACUUCCCUGUUCUAGGGUGGCCCCACCCAACCUGUGUUAAAGAAUACAGGUCGGUUGACGGUUCAACCGGUCGCACCGCCACUCAUUUUCGUAUCACCUCCCCUCUGUAGCGUGUGGCUUGUGUUGUGUCACCGUGAUUGGUCCAGCACCGCUUAUCUACAUGGCACAUCCUGAAACUGACACAAGCUCACCUGAGCACUUGUGAUAAAAAUAGACUCAGCAACAUCCUCCUUGACUCCUCACCACUCCCCUUCAGCCUCACCUCUCUCUCAUCCCUUCAUAUGAAUGAUUACUCUUUUUUUUAUCACAGCUAAAUAUAUCCCACAGCUCUAUCUGUAGUGCCUUUUGUUAUUUUAAAAGGCUUCAUUGGAGAACCUUUGUUCCAAUUAGAAUUUUAGAAUUCUGUUGAUUUUUUUUUCAUAAACAAAUGAUAAAUAGCCAUAGACUUAAAUGAGUUGAUUCCUUAUGGCAAACUACUACCCCGUUCCAUGUCGUCUUCCAGGAAGAAAAAUACAUCCCAAUUUAAUAGGUAAAGCCUUCAAACAGACAGCACAGACAUUGGCAAAUAAUAAAAGGAGCUGGCAGAGCCUAAAUGUUUGUUUAAGGAGGGAGAAUUACCUCGCAAAUAUUGAACCAUACCUUUAUUGGCUCACCUCCUGUUGUUUGCCUUUAUUUAUGACAUAGACACACGGAAUGGUUCAAUGUUUUUUCCCUUUUCACCCCCUCUCCUUUCCAAACGGUUAAAAAGACAAUUUGAUGUUGUACUGAACCCAAAUGUGGCAUAUUUAUUUAAUUUGCGGUGAGAGGGCACCACAUUUUGAUGUGAACUUUCAACCAACAGGAUCUAGUUUGUCUUUAUUCAUGGCAAAUCAUUGUAAAUGUACUCCAUAUAACAUAGUCUUUGAGAAUAUGACAACGAUAGAGUAGUAUCACUGUCUGUGUGUGAGACAGACGAACAGACAGACAGCCAUACUGUAUCUUUUCAGCCUGUCUCUUCCUGUAUCUCAUCCUGUCUCUUUCAGCUGUCUCCCUCUGCGUACAGUGGACGGUUGGUUCAGAGGGCGUCCUUCAGUCCUAGCUCCCUAGCCUGUUGAUUGGCGUCUUACCAGACAUGGUUAGAUCUAAAUAUCCCUGUCUAAUACUGUCUGGUAAUGCCGUCCAUUGAAUGGCGUUUACUUCUCUUUUUCCUCUCUCCUUCUUGUACAGAAGUUUGAGCAUGGCCGUCAGAUUUCUUGGUGUGUCUGACCUCUUAGGCUUCUUCUAUGUUAAUGUGUGUAUACAGUGUGUUUGUGUGUGUAUAUGACCAGUGCAUAGACAGAUUGGUUGAAGUGACAGAUGGAUUGGGGUGUAUUCACUAUGGUCAUGAAGAUAAUGACAAUACAGGAACUAUGAACCUUGCACUGGAAGAUUGAUUCAGUUGUCAGUGCUCUUCCAUGUGCCAUGUGUCAGAGUUUAUUCCUUAAGCAACGGCCCAGGAUGGCCAAAGAAAUACAGCAUUUUGGGAUAUACACAUAUGUGAUGCCAUAAGUAGUAAUUAAAGUAAUUAAAAUGCUUUAAAGUAAUUAAAAUGCUUUAAAGUGCUUUUAAAUCUCGCUCUGUCUCUCUCUCUCUGUGUGUGUGUGUUAAUAAAUAUACUGUAUCAAAUAUUUUAUAUUUAAACGGAUGUAAUAUUAUCUUCAUGUAAUAAAGCAUUUAGAACAGCAUUUAUUCGACUUUUAAAAGAAAGAUUUGUGUGUUCGUCACGGUGUCAUGGUUACUAAAUUCCAAAUAGGAACAUUGUCGGGAAUUUGACAUUUCUCCAGUACAGUAAAUUAAAAAACUAUAAAUUAAUCCAUUAUUGAUCUAAUUUAUCAAUAAAUACUGACUUUACUACAGCCAAGCGAUAGAUACACAUAUAUAUUUUCACCAACGUUAUGUAAUAUGACAUGACAAUAUCAAAUAAACUUGAAAUAAACAAUA